AGGAGGUUUUGACACAUCUGCUAAGAAAGAAGAUGUCUGUGUGGAUGGUGGAGAAGACUGUCCACAGGUCCGGAAACGGGCGCGCGAGGCCACAGGGAAGGCUGCUGGGUGCCUCCGCAAGGAGCCUACCUCUUCCCAAGGCCUUGGGCGCGAUUGUCCACCAGGUCUUCCCCUAGGGCCCAGAGCUUUCUGGUCUACAGCGACUGUGUCUGUGCGAGAACACAACGAUGGAGCCGGAGGUCUCCACGAGGUGUGUGGCGCGCUGAGGACUCCCGGAGCCCUAGCGGGGUGACCGGGAGCCCCCCCUGCGCUGGGGGAAGCACUCCACUCGCUGGGCUGUUCUUGGGAGUCUCCACAAGGGGGCCCUCUUUAGCUGCGGUUGGGGCGGUUGGGAGCGGGGUGAACCCGGCAGGCUCCUCCCCGAGGUCCGGCCCCCGGCCUCGCGCGCUGCACCCAGGCGUGGGGAGGUCGGAGCCCCUGAAGGCCAGCGGUGGGGCGCACGCGUCCUUCCACGUGGAGAACCUUCGUGUUCACUCUUGCACGAGACACGUAGACGCGAUCGCAGGGACGAGGAGGAAGCAGGUCGCAGCUCGGAAGCGACGCUCCAGGCUACAGACAGUGCCAGCGGCCCGGAGCUGGAGACCCUCACUAUAAAGAUGCCUGAGUACCUAAGAUUCCUGCAGAACUAUUCUCCAUAGCCAAGCCACAGAACCAGGCUAGAUGCCCAUCAACAGAUGAAUGGAGAAGGAAACGUGGUACGGGUAUGCAGUGAAGUGUUACCCACCCAUCAAGAACGAAGCCGUGUCAUCUGCAGGAAAAGGGAUGAAACCGUAGGACAUCAUGCAACACGAAAUAUGCC
rnacentral:lncRNA from 1 species